rnacentral:rRNA from 1 species
UACAGGGGGUGCAACCGUUGCUCGGAAUCAUUGGGCGUAAAGCGCACGUAGGCGGUCUGUUAUGUCAGAUGUGAAAGCCCUUGGCUCAACUGGGGAGGGUCACGCGAUACUGAUCGACUCGAAGGCAGGAGAGGGUAGUGGAAUUCCCGGUGUAGUGGUGGAAUGCGUAGAGAUCGGGAGGAACACCAGUGGCGAAGGCGGCUCGCUGGGCCGGUCCUGACGCUCAGGCGCGAAAGCGUGGGGAGCGAUCCGG